rnacentral:rRNA from 1 species
UGGGGAAUAUUGGACAAUGGGCGCAAGCCUGAUCCAGCCAUGCCGCGUGAGUGAUGAAGGCCCUAGGGUUGUAAAGCUCUUUCACCGGUGAAGAUAAUGACGGUAACCGGAGAAGAAGCCCCGGCUAACUUCGUGCCAGCAGCCGCGGUAAUACGAAGGGGGCUAGCGUUGUUCGGAUUUACUGGGCGUAAAGCGCACGUAGGCGGACUAUUAAGUCAGGGGUGAAAUCCCGGGGCUCAACCCCGGAACUGCCUUUGAUACUGGUAGUCUUGAGUUCGAGGGAGGUGAGUGGAAUACCGAGUGUAGAGGUGAAAUUCGUAGAUAUUCGGAGGAACACCAGUGGCGAAGGCGGCUCACUGGCUCGAUACUGACGCUGAGGUGCGAAAGCGUGGGGAGCAAACAGG